rnacentral:lncRNA from 14 species
AGGAAAAGAAAAAUAAUAUUCUCUCUAGCCACAGUGAGUUACAGCAUCAUCUCUCCUGUAAUCAAGAUAUUGCUGAAUUAUGGUGCUAUAAACAAACACUUCUGAUAUAACCACAAACACUGUGGGACAUGUAACACAUUGGCAGUAUAUUUCAGGUGACAAACUCAUUUAUUGUGGGGAGUGGAGGGAGAAAAAUACCUUUCCAGAAGCCGCUACCAGGAAUUACUGCAAAGAAUGACCAGAGCUUAAGGAUACAGAAGCAAAGUAAUUCUACCAACCAGAAUAAAGCACUUAAAGUAUGAAGAAGAUCCAAGCAGUACCAGUAGCUCAGGAGGUGGCUGCUGUGUCACUUUGGUCAGCAGGAUUGGAAGAGAGCCAUCAUCUGCUUCCUCAACGGUCUGCCAGCCUCUAUGUUUGGAAAGGCAAAUCUGAAAGGAAGCUCUUGAGCACUCUACUGUGCGAGUUCCUCAACUGA